GACGAACGCUGGCGGCGUGCUUAACACAUGCAAGUCGAGCGGUAAGGCCCUUAUGGGGGUACACGAGCGGCGAACGGGUGAGUAACACGUGAGUAAUCUGCCCUUCACUUUGGGAUAAGCACCGGAAACGGUGUCUAAUACCGGAUAUGAGCGCCCUGCGCAUGUGGGGUGUUGGAAAGUUUUUUCGGUGGGGGAUGUGCUCGCGGCCUAUCAGCUUGUUGGUGGGGUAAUGGCCUACCAAGGCUUCGACGGGUAGCCGGCCUGAGAGGGUGACCGGUCACACUGGGACUGAGACACGGCCCAGACUCCUACGGGAGGCAGCAGUGGGGAAUAUUGGACAAUGGGCGGAAGCCUGAUCCAGCAACGCCGCGUGAGGGAUGACGGCCUUCGGGUUGUAAACCUCUUUCAGUACUGACGAAGCUCUUUUGGGGUGACGGUAGGUACAGAAGAAGCACCGGCCAACUACGUGCCAGCCGCCGCUGUAAUAC
rnacentral:rRNA from 1 species